rnacentral:rRNA from 1 species
GAUGAACGCUGGCGGCGUGCCUAAUACAUGCAAGUCGAGCGAACAGACGAGGAGCUUGCUCCUCUGACGUUAGCGGCGGACGGGUGAGUAACACGUGUAUAACCUACCUAUAAGACUGGGAUAACUUCGGGAAACCGGCGCUAAUACCGGAUAAUAUAUUGAACCGCAUGGUUCAAUAGUGAAAGACGGUUUUGCUGUCUCUUAUAGAUGGAUCCGCGCCGCAUUAGCUAGUUGGUAAGGUAACGGCUUACCAAGGCAACGAUGCGUAGCCGACGUGAGAGGGGGAUAGGCCACACUGGAGCUGAGACACGCACCAGAGUCCUACGGGAGGGAGCAGUAGGGAACGUUCGGCAAUGGGGGAAAGUUUGACGGAGUAAGGCGGAGUGAGAGAUGAAGGUCUUCGGAGCGUAAAACUCUGUUAUUAGGGAAGAACAAAUGUGUAAGUAACUAUAGACGUCUUGACGGUAACUGAUAAGAAAGCACCGGCUAACUACGUG